rnacentral:rRNA from 1 species
UUUUAGAAAUUAAUUUAAAGUCUAGCCUGCCCACUGAAUUUUUUAAAUGGCCGCAGUAUUCUAACUGUGCAAAGGUAGCAUAAUCAUUAGUCUUUUAAUUGAAGGCUGGAAUGAAUGGUUGGAUGAAAUAUUAACUGUUUCAUAUAAAUUUAUAAUAGAAUUUUAUUUUUUAGUUAAAAAGCUAAAAUAUAAUUAAAAGACGAGAAGACCCUAUAAAUCUUUAUACUUUAAUAAUUUUAAUUUUUUAGAAAAAUUAAAUUAUUAUUAUUUUAAGUAUUUUAUUGGGGUGAUAUUAAAAUUUAAUAAACUUUUAAUUAUAUAUUACAUAAAUUAAUGAAUUAUUGAUCCAUUUAUUAUGAUUAAAAAAUUAAGUUACUUUAGGGAUAACAGCGUAAUUUUUUUAGAGAGUUCAUAUUGAUAAAAA